rnacentral:rRNA from 1 species
GACGAAGGAUGCAAGCGUUAUCCGGAUUCAUUGGGUUUAAAGGGAGCGUAGGUGGCCUUAUAAGUCAGUGGUGAAAUCUCGAGGCUUAACCUCGAAAUUGCCAUUGAUACUGUAGGGCUUGAGUAUAGUUGCCGUUGGCGGAAUAUGACAUGUAGUGGUGAAAUACAUAGAGAUGUCAUAGAACACCGAUUGCGAAGGCAGCUAACGAAACUAUAACUGACACUGAGGCUCGAAAGUGCGGGGAUCAAACAGG